rnacentral:rRNA from 1 species
AUAUUGGACAAUGGGCGAAAGCCUGAUCCAGCCAUGCCGCGUGUGUGAAGAAGGUCUUCGGAUUGUAAAGCACUUUAAGUUGGGAGGAAGGGGGGUAAGUUAAUACCUUGCUGUUUUGACGUUACCGACAGAAAAAGCACCGGCUAACUCUGUGCCAGCAGCCGCGGUAAUA